AGUAAAUAGAUACCCUGGUAGUCCACGCCGUAAACGAUGAGUACUAGGUGUAGGAGGUAUCGACUCCUUCUGUGCCGCAGUUAAACACAAUAAGUACUCCGCCUGGGAAGUACGGUCGCAAGAUUAAAACUCAAAGGAAUUGACGGGGGCCCGCACAAGCAGCGGAGCAUGUGGUUUAAUUCGAAGCAACGCGAAGAACCUUACCUAGACUUGACAUCUCCUGAAUAGUGUAGAGAUACAUGAAGCCCUUCGGGGCAGGAAGACAGGUGGUGCCUGGUUGUCGUCAGCUCGUGUCGUGAGAUGUUGGGUUAAGUCCCGCAACGAGCGCAACCCUUACUUACUUAGUUGUCUACCAUUAAGUUAGUAGCACUCUAGUGAGACUGCCCGGGUUAA
rnacentral:rRNA from 1 species